rnacentral:snRNA from 1 species
GGAUGUGAGGGAGAUCUGGCUGCAACAUCUGUCACCCCAUUGAUCGGCAGGAUUGAUUUGACUGAUCUGGCUGGCCAGACAGGUAUCAUCUUCCUCCCUCACUGCUACAUGUGCGUCCUUCUCGAAGCUGUGUGCUCAGUUAAAAGAGGACCACCAUUCACCUCGCUAGAGGAGGAGGACUGGUUUUGGGUCAAGGGUAUAUGAGUAACUGUACUCCCCUGCUAGAACCUCCAAACAAGCUCUCAAGAUGCCCAAGUCUCACUUGGAAGUGCCUGGGUUAGAUACCAACUCAGGUCUGUUAACCCAAACCAGAGGAGGCAGUGGUGAUGGUUCAAGUGCUUG